UACGUAGGGAGCAAGCGUUGUUCGGAUUUACUGGGCGUAAAGGGCGCGUAGGCGGAUAUCUAAGUUGGGGGUGAAAUCCCGGGGCUCAACCUCGGAAUUGCCUUCAAAACUGGGUAUCUUGAGUUCGGGAGAGGUGAGUGGAACUGCGAGUGUAGAGGUGAAAUUCGUAGAUAUUCGCAAGAACACCAGUGGCGAAGGCGGCUCACUGGCCCGGUACUGACGCUGAGGUGCGAAAGCGUGGGGAGCAAACAGG
rnacentral:rRNA from 1 species